rnacentral:rRNA from 1 species
GACGAACGCUGGCGGCGUGCUUAACACAUGCAAGUCGAACGGAAAGGCCCUGCUUUUGUGGGGUGCUCGAGUGGCGAACGGGUGAGUAACACGUGAGUAACCUGCCCUUGACUUUGGGAUAACUUCAGGAAACUGGGUCUAAUACCGGAUAGGAGCUCCUGCUGCAUGGUGGGGGUUGGAAAGUUUCGGCGGUUGGGGAUGGACUCGCGGCUUAUCAGCUUGUUGGUGGGGUAGUGGCUUACCAAGGGUUUGACGGGUAGCCGGCCUGAGAGGGUGACCGGCCACAUUGGGACUGAGGUACGGCCCAGACUCCUACGGGAGGCAGCAGUGGGGAAUAUUGCGCAAUGGGCGGAAGCCUGAUGCAGCAACGCCGCGUGCGGGAUGACGUCCUUCGAGUUGUAAACCGCUUUCGCCUGUGACGAAGAGUGAGUGACGGUAAUGGGUAAAGAAGCACCGGCUAACUACGUG